rnacentral:rRNA from 1 species
AGAGUGAACGCUGGCGGUAGGCCUAACACAUGCAAGUCGAACGGCAGCACAGUAGGAGCUUGCUCUUACGGGUGGCGAGUGGCGGACGGGUGAGGAAUACAUCGGAAUCUACCUUUUGGUGGGGGAUAACGUAGGGAAACUUACGCUAAUACCGCAUACGCCCUUCGGGGGAAAGCCGGGGACCAGCAAUGGCCUGGCGCUGAUAGAUGAGCCGAUGUCGGAUUAGCUAGUUGGUGAGGUAAUGGCUCACCAAGGCGACGAUCCGUAGCUGGUCUGAGAGGAUGAUCAGCCACACUGGAACUGAGACACGGUCCAGACUCCUACGGGAGGCAGCAGUGGGAAUAUGGACAAUGGGCGCAAGCCUGAUCCAGCCAUACCGCGUGGGUGAAGAAGGCCUUCGGUUGUAAAGUCCCUUUUGUGGAAAGAAAGCAUUACGGUUAAUACCCGGUGUUCUGACGGUACCCAAAGAAUAAGCACCGCUAACUUCGU